GCUCUGCGCCCCGGCAUUGACUGUAUCAUGCUUAUCAGACCCAGUUAUUGGGAAGUGGUAAGGGCGCCAGAUGCCACGGAGAGACAUGCGUCAGAGGGUGGGAGGUGAGCCUCAUGCAAGUUCAGGUGGUGAUACUUCCAGGGCCCCGUGAUCCGGACCGUGGCGGCCAGCCCUCGCCCCAGCGUGAAAAACGAGUUGCUGUAACUUGUGCUGCCCGCUCGAAAAAUGGGGUGCCGUGCUUGGCUCCGGAGGCCAGAAGUCCAGCAUCCAGGCGUGGACACACCGUGCUCCCUCUGGAGGUCUUGGGGAGGGGCCUCCAGCUUCCGGAUGCCGUCAGUCUGGCCUUCCAGGGCUCGAAGCCGCAGCCCCUCGAAGUCUGUCCCUGCAGUCACGCGGCCUUCUCCCCUGGGGGUCUGUCUCCACGCUUCCCUCUUAUGAGAACACCAGCGUCCUGGACCGAGGCCCAACCCAAGGACCUCUUGGUGACUUGAUGACAUGGUCCCAAUCGCAGCCUGGAACAUGGAUGUGAUGUCUGGAGCUGUGGCAACCCUCUGUGAGCAUGAGGGAAGCCAAACAUGAUUGCAGAGAUGCUGGUCUGACAUGACUGGGCUGCUGAGCAGACUUGCCUGCCUCCAGGACUCUUGUUAUGGGAGAAAAAUAAACCC